rnacentral:rRNA from 1 species
CAGUAGCCGCGGGAAUACAGAGGGUGCGAGCGUUAAUCGGAUUUACUGGGCGUAAAGCGUGCGUAGGCGGCUUCUUAAGUCGGAUGUGAAAUCCCUGAGCUUAACUUAGGAAUUGCAUUCGAUACUGGGAAGCUAGAGUAUGGGAGAGGAUGGUAGAAUUCCAGGUGUAGCGGUGAAAUGCGUAGAGAUCUGGAGGAAUACCGAUGGCGAAGGCAGCCAUCUGGACUAAUACUGACGCUGAGGUACGAAAGCAUGGGGAGCAAACAGGAUUAGAUACCCCGGUAGUCCCUGUCUCUUAUAC